GACGUAGGGGGACGAGCGUUUGUCCGGAUUCAUUGGGGCGUAAAGCGCGCGUAGGCGGUUUGGUAAGUCGGAUGUGAAAACCCGAGGCUCAACCUCGGGCCUACAGUCGAUACGGGCAAACUAGAGUACUGCAGGGGGAGACUGGAAUUCCUGGUGUAGCGGUGAAAUGCGCAGAUAUCAGGAGGAACACCGGUGGCGAAGGCGCCACUCUGGGCCGAAACUGACGCUGAGGAGCGAAAGCGUGGGUAGCAAACAGG
rnacentral:rRNA from 1 species